rnacentral:rRNA from 1 species
UACGGAAGGAGCAGGGGGGAAUAUUGCACAAUGGGCGCAAGCCUGAUGCAGCCAUGCCGCGUGUAUGAAGAAGGCCUUCGGGUUGUAAAGUACUUUCAGUCGUGAGGAAGGUGUUAGGGUUAAUAACCUUAGCAAUUGACGUUAGCGACAGAAGAAGCACCGGCUAACUCCGUGCCAGCAGCCGCGGUAAUACGGAGGGUGCGAGCGUUAAUCGGAAUUACUGGGCGUAAAGGGCACGCAGGCGGUUAAUUAAGUUGGAUGUGAAAUCCCCGGGCUUAACCUGGGAAUGGCAUUCAAGACUGGUUAGCUAGAGUCUUGUAGAGGGGGUAGAAUUCCAUGUGUAGCGGUGAAAUGCGUAGAGAUGUGGAGGAAUACCGGUGGCGAAGGCGGCCCCUGGACAAGACUGACGCUCAUGUGCGAAAGCGUGGGGAGCAAACAGGGAUUUAGAUACC